rnacentral:rRNA from 1 species
UACGGAGGGUGCAAGCGUUAUCCGGAUUCACUGGGUUUAAAGGGCGCGUAGGAGGGCAGGUAAGUCAGCGGUGAAAUCCCCGAGCUUAACUUGGGAACUGCCGUUGAUACUAUCUGUCUUGAAUAUCGUGGAGGUGAGCGGAAUAUGUCAUGUAGCGGUGAAAUGCUUAGAUAUGACAUAGAACACCAAUUGCGAAGGCAGCUCGCUACACGAAUAUUGACUCUGAGGCACGAAAGCGUGGGGAUCAAACAGG